rnacentral:rRNA from 1 species
UUCCAGACUCCUACGGGAGGCAGCAGUCGGGAAUAUUGCGCAAUGGAGGAAACUCUGACGCAGUGACGCCGUGUAUAGGAAGAAGGUUUUCGGAUUGUAAACUAUUGUCGUGAGGGAAGAAAUUGACAGUACCUCAGGAGGAAGCUCCGGCUAACUACGUGCCAGCAGCCGCGGUAAUACGUAGGUGACAAGCGUUGUCCGGAUUUACUGGGUGUAAAGGGCGCGUAGGCGGACUGUCAAGUCAGUCGUGAAAUACCGGGGCUUAAUCCCGGGGCUGCGAUUGAAACUGACAGCCUUGAGUAUCGGAGAGGAAAGCGGAAUUCCUAGUGUAGCGGUGAAAUGCGUAGAUAUUAGGAGGAACACCAGUGGCGAAGGCGGCGUUCUGGACGACAACUGACGCUGAGGCGCGAAAGUGUGGGGAGCAAACAGGAUUAGAUACCCCCGUAAUA